UACGGCCUUUGUGGGCCUGUGAGCUGCAGGUAUUGGGAAAUCCACAGCUAAGACACCAGGACCCUCUGGAAGCCUAGAAAUGGUCUUCUUCCAAAAUGAGAAAGAACUGAAAACUUAAAGGAAUGGAGCUCUGGCCAGGCGUGGCAGCUCACGCCUGUAAUCUGAGCACUUUGGGAGGCCGUGACAGAGUCUUGUUCUGUCAUCCAGGCUGGAGU